CCUCUCGUGGCGUAGGGGUAACGCGCUCUAACUAGAGAUCAUGGAGUGGUGAGUUCGAUUCUCACCGAGAAGA
rfam:Aedes aegypti strain Liverpool supercont1.1421 genomic scaffold, whole genome shotgun sequence.